UACGUAGGGUGCGAGCGUUGUCCGGAAUUAUUGGGCGUAAAGGGCUCGUAGGCGGUUUGUCACGUCGGGAGUGAAAACUCAGGGCUUAACCCUGAGCCUGCUUCCGAUACGGGCAGACUAGAGGUAUGCAGGGGAGAAUGGAAUUCCUGGUGUAGCGGUGAAAUGCGCAGAUAUCGGGAAGAACACCCGUGGCGAAGGCGGCUCUCUGGGACGGUACUGACGCUGAGACGCGAAAGCGUGGGGAGCGAACAGG
rnacentral:rRNA from 1 species